GACGAACGCUGGCGGCGUGCUUAACACAUGCAAGUCGAGCGAGGCCCUCCUUCGGGAGGUGUCCUAGCGGCGAACGGGUGAGUAACACGUGGGCAACCUGCCCUCAGCUCUGGGAUAACCCCAAGAAAUUGGGGCUAAUACCGGAUACGACCGCUGACCGCAUGGUCUGGUGGUGGAAAGAUUUAUCGGCUGAGGAUGGGCCCGCGGCCUAUCAGCUUGUUGGUGGGGUAGUGGCCUACCAAGGCGACGACGGGUAGCCGGCCUGAGAGGGUGACCGGCCACACUGGGACUGAGACACGGCCCAGACUCCUACGGGAGGCAGCAGUGGGGAAUAUUGCGCAAUGGGCGGAAGCCUGACGCAGCGACGCCGCGUGGGGGAUGACGGCCUUCGGGUUGUAAACCUCUUUCAGCAGGGACGAAGCGAAAGUGACGGUACCUGCAGAAGAAGCACCGGCCAACUACGUGCCAGCAGCCGCAGUAACAC
rnacentral:rRNA from 1 species